UAGGCUUGGAAUACUAAAAAAAAAAAAAAAAAAAAAGCGCUGGAUACAGAAAGAAGUAGAGGGUUCUCCGUUCCUCUUCAGACGUAGAGCACCGCUGCAAGCACAUAGAGGAAGAAAAAUCUAUGGGCAUCAACACCGUUAGGCUACAUAUCUGCCACCAUCAGAUCGUCGGAACCGGUUCCGGGUUACGUUUUUGGUCCAGCACCACCCAUCUCCGGCUCCAUUCAAUCACAGCCUCAACGGUGAUUUUGGUUUAGGGUUAUGUUUCUCUGCUCUGUUAGUUGUCUGCCCCCAUCACUUCUCUUCAACGGUGUAUUAGGAAGAUUAGUCAUCCCUGACUUAUAAGACUUUUGGCUACUAUUCGAGAAGAACUACUGAAUUAAAUUGAAAGGUUGAACGUAAGUACAGAUGAUACUUUGGUAGAAGAUGGGUCCAAUUGUUGUGCUGCUCCUCGAGGAAUCCAUGGGUCAGAAAAUGAGUGGUUGUGAAGAAUUUCCAAGUAAAUGACUUGACUUAAAUUUACAAGGGAAAAAAAAAAAAAACUUGACUUCCAUUUUUGUUCAUGUUAUUAAUGUUGUCCCCAUAUUUUAAAAUUCAUAUGGGAAAAUUAACUGAACCUUGGAAUUUUGGCUCACCUUAUGUAUGUGUGUAUUGUGGUUCAAUUUAUGGUAUGAAGAGAGAACAGUAAAAUCUAAGAAGCCUAAGAACUCAAAAUUCUCUCUCUAUUGCAUCUAUUUAAUUGUUAGUCUCUAUCUUUCAUACUA